GUUCAUAAUCAGAUGUCUUAUUUCUUGACUGAGAAGUAAACUAGUGACAAUGUGGGCCUUACUAGUGAUUGUUAUAUCAUCAAUACUCAUAACUUGUGCCAGUAUACCAACAAAACCACCCAUAUGGCCUUCAGCAUUCUCGGUAGAUUUUGUAGAGGACAUAUCUUUCGCUAUAGUGAAAUAUUCCCACAACAAUGGAACGUGGUAUUAUGACUUUCCAAAUGGAAGAGCUAGGUACGACCAUCUUCGUGGACAGAAAAAUAAUUUUUGUGGAGGACAAAAGCUUAGUGACCAUGACCCACAGGCUCCGUGUAGUCUUUUAUUUACUAACCAUAGUAACAUGUAUGUAAUCUAUCCAGAGGCAAAGACAUGUUGUAUUCUGUGUGGCGAAAAAGAAGGUUGCACUGUUCUUAAACCAACUUGGUUGUCGAAUUCCUCGUAUACCGGCGAUAAAGUAUUUGAAGGAAAGAAUUGCCAUGGCUGGGCGGAACCAGGACAUAUUUUUACAGACGAACUUUACGUUACGGACGAAAAUGUUCUUUGUCAGUACCACGAAAAGUCGUUUGUUGGUGAUUUGAUUCAUACUCUAACAUUUAACCAAGCAAGUUAUAAAAUACAACAGCCAGAAACCUCGAUAUUUGAUAUUCCUAGCUAUUGUAAGGAUGUUUGUCCUCGUCCAUAUCCAAACCACAUAAAAUACAAUCGAUCGAUAUUAUAAAUACGUGUAUAUAUAUAUAUAUAUAUAUAUAUAUAUAUAUAUAUAUAUAAUGCAGAUUAUUUAGAGAAUGAGAACAAUAUUUGUCUGUGAAUUUUAAUUUGGCCUCAUUUUGUAUGUUUGUUAUAUUUUUUGUUUUGUCGGUUUUGAAAAUAUUGUAAGGAAAAUGUUUUAAUGAACAACUUGAGGUCUUUAUCUGUCAUGAUAGAAACUACAGACCCACUUGAGCCUACAGCAAGUACUUUGUUAGUCAAUUGUUCAAAUAAAUGAUAUCAUAUACAUGUACUGUA